rnacentral:rRNA from 1 species
GACGAACGCUGGCGGCGUGCUUAACACAUGCAAGUCGAGCGAGGUCCAACCGGUGGCAACACCGGGGAAGACCUAGCGGCGAACGGGUGAGUAACACGUGAGAAACCUGUCCCGAAGUUCGGGAUAACCCGGGGAAACCCGAGCUAAUACCGGAUACCCACGAUUGGUCGCAUGGCCGAUCGUGGAAAGAACUUCGCUUCGGGAGGGUCUCGCGGCCUAUCAGCUUGUUGGUGGGUAACGGCCCACCAAGGCAUCGACGGGUAGCUGGUCUGAGAGGACGAUCAGCCACACUGGGACUGAGACACGGCCCAGACUCCUACGGGAGGCAGCAGUGGGGAAUCUUGCGCAAUGGGCGAAAGCCUGACGCAGCAACGCCGCGUGCGGGAUGAAGGCC